rnacentral:rRNA from 1 species
UACGAAGGGGGCUAGCGUUGCUCGGAAUGACUGGGCGUAAAGGGCGCGUAGGCGGAUGACACAGUCAGAUGUGAAAUUCCCGGGCUUAACCUGGGGGCUGCAUUUGAUACGUGUUGUCUAGAGUGAGGAAGAGGGUUGUGGAAUUCCCAGUGUAGAGGUGAAAUUCGUAGAUAUUGGGAAGAACACCGGUGGCGAAGGCGGCAACCUGGGCCUUGACUGACGCUGAGGCGCGAAAGCGUGGGGAGCAAACAGG